rnacentral:lncRNA from 1 species
UGUACAAGAAGUUCUCAAAAUAUGAAAUUAAAGGUAAUGACUUUAUGAACCUAUCCCACAACCCUUUUUACAAGGCAACAUUAUUAUUUUAAUACUAUCUCCAUUUAAUAUAACUUAACAAAGUUAUAAAAAAUUCACAGAUUCAAAGGUGGCCUUGCAUUAUUAGAUUUGAAAAGGUACAAUGAGAAAUUCUAUCUGAAUGUCUUAUAAGAUAUUAUAUACAUAUUUUUAAAGUAUACAUAUUAGUUGAUAUUUAAGAAAAUCAUGAAUUAAGGUAAUUUGACCAAUUUUCAAAUCUUUGUAAUAGAGAAAUAAUCUAGUAUAGUUUUACAUUAAAAUUUCAAAUCCUGAUUAUAAACUAGUCAUAUUUUAGAAUAUCACUUUUAAAGAAUCAUAAUGAUUUGUGCAAUACCAUGCUUGCAAUGAUCAAUAUAAAAUUGUGUUUAAAGUAAAAUGUUAUACAAUCAGAUCCCAAUUAUUAUUUAAUUUUUCCAAUAAAAAUUAUGUGUAAAUUGUUCAUGUGUUGGAUUAAAGUAAAUUUUUAUUUUGAUGGAUAAGGUAGAUAAAUUUGUUACAUUUACUUACUUGAAGAAAAUCAACUAUUGCUUUGUAAAUCAUUAAGAGUUUAGUGCAUGAAAUAUAAUAAUAGAUUAGUUUUAUUUUAAAUGAUAAAAUUGAUGUGAUAACAUACUACAUAGCUAACAAAUUAGAGCAAUAUAUUGUUUAUAUUUUCUAAUUUUAGUAUUUAUAACUAUAAGAUUAAGUUUUAGAACAAUAAUCAUUUGUAUUAAUGAUAUAAAAUCUUGUCAAAACAAAGUUAUUGUUAGAUUGGCAAAUAUUAUUAGUUUUAAACCAAACUAAUUAAAUCCUUUAACAAGAUUCUAGUAAAUAUGUUUUUACAUUUUUUUAAAAAAUAAUAUACAUUGUUAUACAAGAAA